rnacentral:rRNA from 1 species
UACAGAGGUGGCAAGCGUUGUUCGGAAUUACUGGGCGUAAAGGGCGCGUAGGCGGUUCGUCAAGUCCUGUGUGAAAUCCCCCGGCUCAACUGGGGAACUGCACAGGAAACUAGCGGGCUUGAGUUCGGGAGAGGGAAGCGGAAUUCCGGGUGUAGCGGUGAAAUGCGUAGAUAUCAGGAGGAACACCUGUGGUGUAGACAGCUUACUGGACCACUUCUGACGCUGAGACACGAAAGCGUGGGUAGCAAACAGG